rfam:Hebeloma cylindrosporum h7 unplaced genomic scaffold scaffold_20, whole genome shotgun sequence.
GGCCGGAUAGCUCAGUGGUUAGAGCAUCUGGUAUAUAUCCGGAAGGUCCUGGGUUCAAUUCCCUGUCUGGUCA